UACAGAGGGUGCGAGCGUUAAUCGGAAUUACUGGGCGUAAAGCGCGCGUAGGCGGCUUUGCAAGUCGGGUGUGAAAUCCCCAGGCUUAACCUGGGAACUGCAUUCGAGACUGCAUUGCUAGAGUAUGGGAGAGGGAAGUGGAAUUUCCGGUGUAGCGGUGAAAUGCGUAGAUAUCUGGAGGAACACCGGUGGCGAAGGCGGCAUCCUGGACCAACACUGACACUGAGGAGCGAAAGCCAGGGGAGCAAACGGG
rnacentral:rRNA from 1 species